CUUCUUUGUCAAUUCCCCUGUCUCCUGAAUGUCUCAUUCUCAAACUAAUUUUGCUUGAAAUUGUGGCUGGAGAUGGUAUGUUUGAAACUUAAUAUGAUGAACAUAGAACAGACUCUGUGUUCUAGGAAGAUUUCAACACCUUUUUAGCAAAAGAUGUUCACAUAAACCUGAAAUGAAUAUAGCCAAAGAGGACGUGGUCUUUCAGCACCUCCAGCUAAAAAAUGCUGCAGAGGAACUUCCUGUAUUAAGUACAGAUGGGGUUUCACCAUGUUCGCCAGGAUGGUCUCGAUCUCCUGACCUCGUGAUCUGUCCACCUCUGCCUCCCAAAGUGCUGAGAUUACAGGUGUGAGCCACCACUCCCAGCCUUUGUCAUCAUUUCAGAUAGGGUGAAGGAAUGGUUUAAGUCGCCUCCAAGGUAUCUUGUUGGGGGUGAGGGGUACAGAGGGGUCUUACUGAAUGGUGAUGAAAAAGGGGACACAAGCGAAAAAUCAACAUUGGAGAAAAGAUAACUAAACCCUGGGAAGCUUAAGGAACAAAGUGUAACAAAACAACAUGGAUUGUUUUAUAAAAUACUUUGAGAUAUCCAGGAUUAAAAGUAUGAUAAAAAAUAACAUCGUGUAUUUUUGCAGUAACUUUUAAUUUACAAAAACACUUACAUACAUUAUCUCACUAGACUCUUUGACCCUUAUAUGUACUAUGUAAGAAAGGCAGGGCAGGCACCAGAAAUCCAGGGUUACAAAAUCUAGUGAUUGGAACUCAGAGGGAUUGCGAGGCAUGCUCAAAAUCCCACAACUGCGCAAAAAUAGGACAAACAGAAAUAUGUUCACUCAGUGAUUAGAACUCGGAGGGAUUGUGAGGCAUGCUCAAAAUCCCACAACUGCGCAGAAAUAGGACGAAGAGAAAUAUGUUUGCUCAGUCCUAGGUGCAAUACUUAUGACCAGAAUGGGAGGACAGACUGAUCCCCUUUAGAGCUUGAUUUUCCUUCCCUCUGGGAAUAUAUCUGCCUUUGGCACUG
rnacentral:lncRNA from 1 species